rnacentral:rRNA from 1 species
UACGAAGGGGGGCUAGCGUUGCUCGGAAUCACUGGGCGUAAAGCGCACGUAGGCGGCUUUCUAAGUCAGGGGUGAAAUCCUGGAGCUCAACUCCAGAACUGCCUUUGAUACUGGAGAGCUCGAGUCCGGAAGAGGUGAGUGGAACUCCGAGUGUAGAGGUGAAAUCGUAGAUAUUCGGAAGAACACCAGUGGCGAAGGCGGCUCACUGGUCCGGUACUGACGCUGAGGUGCGAAAGCGUGGGGAG